CAGCCGUAAACUAUGCGCGUUAGGUGUAUCGGUGACCACGAGUUACCGAGGUGCCGAAGGGAAACCGUGAAACGUGCCGCCUGGGAAGUACGGUCGCAAGGCUGAAACUUAAAGGAAUUGGCGGGGGAGCACCACAACAGGUGGAGCCUGCGGUUUAAUUGGACUCAACGCCGGGAAGAUCACCGGAUAGGACAGCAGAAUGAUUGCCGGGCUGAAGACCCUGCAUGACUAGCUGAGAGGAGGUGCAUGGCGUAGACGUCU
rnacentral:rRNA from 1 species